rnacentral:rRNA from 1 species
GAUGAACGCUGGCGGCGUGCCUAAUACAUGCAAGUCGAGCGAACAGACGAGGAGCUUGCUCCUCUGACGUUAGCGGCGGACGGGUGAGUAACACGUGGAUAACCUACCUAUAAGACUGGGAUAACUUCGGGAAACCGGAGCUAAUACCGGAUAAUAUAUUGAACCGCAUGGUUCAAUAGUGAAAGACGGUUUUGCUGUCACUUAUAGAUGGAUCCGCGCCGCAUUAGCUAGUUGGUAAGGUAACGGCUUACCAAGGCAACGAUGCGUAGCCGACCUGAGAGGGUGAGCAGCCACAGUGGAACUGAGACACGGUCCAGACUCCUACGGGAGGCAGCAGUGGGGAAUUUUGGACAAUGGGCGAAAGCCUGAUGGAGCAACGCCGCGUGGGUGAAGAAGGUCUUCGGGUUGUAAAGCUCUUUUGUUGGGAAAGAAAAAAUGUAUAUGAAUAUAUACAUGUUUUGACGGUACCUAAAGAAAAAGCCACGGCUAACUUCGUG